rnacentral:rRNA from 1 species
GACGAACGCUGGCGGCGUGCUUAACACAUGCAAGUCGAACGGAAAGGCCCUGCUUUUGUGGGGUGCUCGAGUGGCGAACGGGUGAGUAGCACGUGAGUAACCUGCCCUUGACUUUGGGAUAACUUCAGGAAACUGGGGCUAAUACCGGAUAGGAGCUCCUGCUGCAUGGUGGGGGUUGGAAAGUUUCGGCGGUUGGGGAUGGAUUCGCGGCUUAUCAGCUUGUUGGUGGGGUAGUGGCUUACCAAGGCUUUGACGGGUAGCCGGCCUGAGAGGGUGACCGGCCACAUUGGGACUGAGAUACGGCCCAGACUCCUACGGGAGGCAGCAGUGGGGAAUAUUGCACAAUGGGCGGAAGCCUGAUGCAGCAACGCCGCGUGCGGGAUGACGGCCUUCGGGUUGUAAACCGCUUUCGCCUGUGACGAAGCGUGAGUGACGGUAAUGGGUAAAGAAGCACCGGCUAACUACGUG